AGUGAACGCUGGCGGUAGGCCUAACACAUGCAAGUCGAACGGCAGCACAGUAAGAGCUUGCUCUUACGGGUGGCGAGUGGCGGACGGGUGAGGAAUACAUCUGAAUCUACUUUUUCGUGGGGGAUAACGUAGGGAAACUUACGCUAAUACCGCAUACGACCUACGGGUGAAAGCAGGGGAUCCUCGGACCUUGCGCGAUUGAAUGAGCCGAUGUCGGAUUAGCUAGUUGGCGGGGUAAAGGCCCACCAAGGCGACGAUCCGUAGCUGGUCUGAGAGGAUGAUCAGCCACACUGGAACUGAGACACGGUCCAGACUCCUACGGGAGGCAGCAGUGGGGAAUAUUGGACAAUGGGCGCAAGCCUGAUCCAGCCAUACCGCGUGGGUGAAGAAGGCCUUCGGGUUGUAAAGCCCUUUUGUUGGGAAAGAAAAGCAGCAGGUUAAUACCCCGCUGUUCUGACGGUACCCAAAGAAUAAGCACCGGCUAACUUCGUG
rnacentral:rRNA from 1 species